rnacentral:rRNA from 1 species
GGGCGCACGGUGGAUGCCUUGACACUAGGAGUCGAUGAAGGACGGGACUAACGCCGAUAUGCUUCGGGGAGCUGUAAGUAAGCUUUGAUCCGAAGAUUUCCGAAUGGGGAAACCCACCAUACGUAAUGGUAUGGUAUCCUUAUCUGAAUACAUAGGAUAAGGAAGACAGACCCAGGGAACUGAAACAUCUAAGUACCUGGAGGAAGAGAAAGCAAAUGCGAUUUCCUGAGUAGCGGCGAGCGAAACGGAACAUAGCCCAAACCAAGAGGCUUGCCUCUUGGGGUUGUAGGACAUUCUAUACGGAGUUACAAAGGAACGAGGUAGACGAAGCGACCUGGAAAGGUCCGUCGUAGAGGGUAACAACCCCGUAGUCGAAACUUCGUUCUCUCUUGAAUGUAUCCUGAGUACGGCGGAACACGUGAAAUUCCGUCGGAAUCUGGGAGGACCAUCUCCCAAGGCUAAAUACUCCCUAGUGAUCGAUAGUGAACCAGUACCGUGAGGGAAAGGUGAAAAGCACCCCGGAAGGGGAGUGAAAGAGAUCCUGAAACCGUGUGCCUACAAAUAGUCAGAGCCCGUUAAUGGGUGAUGGUGUGCCUUUUGUAGAAUGAACCGGCGAGUUACGAUCCCGUGCGAGGUUAAGCUGAAGAGGCGGAGCCGCAGCGAAAGCGAGUCUGAAUAGGGCGUUUAGUACGUGGUCGUAGACCCGAAACCAGGUGAUCUACCCAUGUCCAGGGUGAAGUUCAGGUAACACUGAAUGGAGGCCCGAACCCACGCACGUUGAAAAGUGCGGGGAUGAGGUGUGGGUAGCGGAGAAAUUCCAAUCGAACCUGGAGAUAGCUGGUUCUCCCCGAAAUAGCUUUAGGGCUAGCCUUAAGUGUAAGAGUCUUGGAGGUAGAGCACUGAUUGGACUAGGGGUCCUCAUCGGAUUACCGAAUUCAGUCAAACUCCGAAUGCCAAUGACUUAUCCUUAGGAGUCAGACUGCGAGUGAUAAGAUCCGUAGUCAAAAGGGAAACAGCCCAGACCGCCAGCUAAGGUCCCAAAGUGUGUAUUAAGUGGAAAAGGAUGUGGAGUUGCUUAGACAACUAGGAUGUUGGCUUAGAAGCAGCCACCAUUUAAAGAGUGCGUAAUAGCUCACUAGUCGAGUGACUCUGCGCCGAAAAUGUACCGGGGCUAAAUACACCACCGAAGCUGCGGAUUGAUACCAAUGGUAUCAGUGGUAGGGGAGCGUUCUAAGGACAGUGAAGUCAGACCGGAAGGACUGGUGGAGUGCUUAGAAGUGAGAAUGCCGGUAUGAGUAGCGAAAGACGGGUGAGAAUCCCGUCCACCGAAUGCCUAAGGUUUCCUGAGGAAGGCUCGUCCGCUCAGGGUUAGUCAGGACCUAAGCCGAGGCCGACAGGCGUAGGCGAUGGACAACAGGUUGAUAUUCCUGUACCACCUCUUUAUCGUUUGAGCAAUGGAGGGACGCAGAAGGAUAGAAGAAGCGUGCGAUUGGUUGUGCACGUCCAAGCAGUUAGGCUGAUAAGUAGGCAAAUCCGCUUAUCGUGAAGGCUGAGCUGUGAUGGGGAAGCUCCUUAUGGAGCGAAGUCUUUGAUUCCCCGCUGCCAAGAAAAGCUUCUAGCGAGAUAAAAGGUGCCUGUACCGCAAACCGACACAGGUAGGCGAGGAGAGAAUCCUAAGGUGUGCGAGAGAACUCUGGUUAAGGAACUCGGCAAAAUGACCCCGUAACUUCGGGAGAAGGGGUGCUUUCUUAACGGAAAGCCGCAGUGAAUAGGCCCAAGCGACUGUUUAGCAAAAACACAGCUCUCUGCGAAGCCGUAAGGCGAAGUAUAGGGGGUGACACCUGCCCGGUGCUGGAAGGUUAAGGAGAGGGGUUAGCGUAAGCGAAGCUCUGAACUGAAGCCCCAGUAAACGGCGGCCGUAACUAUAACGGUCCUAAGGUAGCGAAAUUCCUUGUCGGGUAAGUUCCGACCCGCACGAAAGGUGUAACGAUUUGGGCACUGUCUCAACCAGAGACUCGGUGAAAUUAUAGUACCUGUGAAGAUGCAGGUUACCCGCGACAGGACGGAAAGACCCCGUGGAGCUUUACUGUAGCCUGAUAUUGAAUUUUGGUACAGUUUGUACAGGAUAGGCGGGAGCCUUUGAAACCGGAGCGCUAGCUUCGGUGGAGGCGCUGGUGGGAUACCGCCCUGACUGUAUUGAAAUUCUAACCUACGGGUCUUAUCGACCCGGGAGACAGUGUCAGGUGGGCAGUUUGACUGGGGCGGUCGCCUCCUAAAGUGUAACGGAGGCGCCCAAAGGUUCCCUCAGAAUGGUUGGAAAUCAUUCGUAGAGUGCAAAGGCAUAAGGGAGCUUGACUGCGAGACCUACAAGUCGAGCAGGGACGAAAGUCGGGCUUAGUGAUCCGGUGGUUCCGCAUGGAAGGGCCAUCGCUCAACGGAUAAAAGCUACCCCGGGGAUAACAGGCUUAUCUCCCCCAAGAGUCCACAUCGACGGGGAGGUUUGGCACCUCGAUGUCGGCUCAUCGCAUCCUGGGGCUGUAGUCGGUCCCAAGGGUUGGGCUGUUCGCCCAUUAAAGCGGUACGCGAGCUGGGUUCAGAACGUCGUGAGACAGUUCGGUCCCUAUCCGUCGUGGGCGUAGGAAAUUUGAGAGGAGCUGUCCUUAGUACGAGAGGACCGGGAUGGACGCACCGCUGGUGUACCAGUUGUUCUGCCAAGGGCAUAGCUGGGUAGCUAUGUGCGGAAGGGAUAAGUGCUGAAAGCAUCUAAGCAUGAAGCCCCCCUCAAGAUGAGAUUUCCCAUAGCGUAAGCUAGUAAGAUCCCUGAAAGAUGAUCAGGUUGAUAGGUUCGAGGUGGAAGCAUGGUGACAUGUGGAGCUGACGAAUACUAAUAGAUCGAGGACUUAACCAU